rnacentral:lncRNA from 12 species
AUAUCUCUAGGAAUACGGUCAACAAAGAACAAAGGAAAAAUGUCUUUGUCUUAAAUCACUUAUUUUUUGAGAGCUUGAAGCAUACUGCCUAAGUCUGCUUUGGUCUAAUGAAAGAGUGCCAUCUAUUGGAUGACCUUGAAAAAGUGCUUAAAUUUCAUAAAUAUUAUACAUGAAAAUAAAUCAGUGAAGAGCUAUCAUUUUGGCAUAAUUUAGAACAUAUCAGUCUUUGUCUAUGUGAAUAUAUAAAAAUAUUCCUGAGGUUUAUGUAAAAGAAAGAAAAGGGAUAUUUUGCAUGAAUAUUCUGUUAUAAUACACUUAUGUAGCAAUAGAAUUGUCACAAUUAAAGGCAGCAAAUUAUUGUCUGAUUAAGACAUUGAAUUUUUGAAUUCAAAUGUUUUAUAAACUUGCGAUUAAAGACAUGCAUCUUGUAUUCCUUCAUACAUACCUUUGUUUACUUGUGCUUUUAAAUAAAGGAAUCUGAAAAUUGAAUGCAUGAUCUUGUAUUUUGACAAGAAGGAUCUGUUUAAAUCUUCCUCAAAGUUGCAUUGCAUAAAAUUUAAACCAAAAACAAAAGAAAAAAAACACAUUAACUUGGUUUUUUAAAAGGCAAUGUUCUUGUUUUAUCUUUCAGCCCAAGAACUUGCCAGUCAAGAUGAAAAACUUCUUCUAAUGGAAUCCAGCUUGAAAGCUACUCAAGAGCAGCUAACUGAGCAAAUAGCAGAAACAGUUCGCCAAGAACAGAACAGUAGAAAACCCCAGGCAGAGCUGAAGACAGUGACAGAAGGGAUUAUUGCUUCUGAAGAAGAAAAAAAUGAUUACAAAAUCUGCCAUUUUCUCAACUUCAUUGCAAAAGGUGUGAAAGAGGAGGAAAAUUAAAUUGGUAAAUAUUUUGAAGUCAGGCUGAAAUAACUGGCCAAGUUUCUAAAAGUGCAACUAGAAAAUCUUACUUAUGUGGCCAAAAGAAAAUAAAAAGAAUUGUACUCAUUGAGAUGGAGUUGGU